UGGGGAGAACAGUAAAUCGUGUCUUCCUUGGAGGGGUUAAGCGUAAACGCUUUUCGGUGUAAUAAUUCUCAUCAUAAUAACUUAAUUCGCGAUCGCGUCUCAAUUCACUUUCUUCUGCUGAAGCCGAAACAUCAGUUGUUUUCUUUGAAAUUUUUCGAUAAAUGGCGAACAGAGUUCCGAUCCGCACAACCAGCUCAGCACUCAUCGCCAUGAUCGCUGAUGAGGAUACAAUUACUGGAUUUUUGCUGGCUGGAGUUGGCAAUGUUGAUUUGAGGAGGACAACAAAUUAUCUCAUUGUGGACU